GAUGAACGCUGGCGGCGUGCUUAACACAUGCAAGUCGAACGAAGCACUUUAACCUGUUUCUUCGGAUGAAGGUUUUUGUGACUGAGUGGCGGACGGGUGAGUAACGCGUGGGUAACCUGCCUCAUACAGGGGGAUAACAGUUAGAAAUGACUGCUAAUACCGCAUAAGACCACAGAGCCGCAUGGCUCGGUGGGAAAAACUCCGGUGGUAUGAGAUGGACCCGCGUCUGAUUAGGUAGUUGGUGGGGUAACGGCCUACCAAGCCAGCGAUGAGUAGCCGACCUGGGAGGGUGACCGGCCACAAUGGGACUGAGACACAGCCCAAACUCCUACGGGAGGCAGCGGGGGAGAAUAUUGCAGAAUGGGGGCGACCGUGAUGCAGCGACGCCGCGUGAGCGAAGAAGUAUUUCGGUAUGUAAGGCUCUAUCAGCAGGGAAGAGAAUGACGGUACCGGGCUAAGAAGCACCGGCUAAAUACGUG
rnacentral:rRNA from 1 species